UGCUUUUACGCUAUAUGAUACGGAAAAAGGAAAAAUAGUUGUAAGUCUAAAGUAUUAUAGUCCAAAAUGCCGACAACAACCAAAAACCACAGAGUGCGGUAUCUACUGCAUGAAGUAUGCUAGGGAUCUCAUUUCACAACAAAGAACCAGAGCAUAUCUAUCGAAUAAUUUCAAUUCAGAUUUACCAUAUACUGACGCAGAACUUAAUGAAGUUCAAGAAGAGUGGGCAAAAUAUAUUCUACCGCAACUCGCUAAAUGAUGGCAUGCUUGCUUAGUACCUAUGUGAGGGGAUUUAAUCAUUU